CUCACCUCACAUCACAGGUAUUAUCAACAACAUGAGCGCUCUAACCUCAUCCUCUCUCUUCAACUCUCAUAGCAUUUCAAGAUUUCCAUCAUCAUUUUCACACCCCACAAGUUAUUCCAUCAGGAUUGGUUUUCCCAUCAAGAUUCCCAGAAUCCGAGCGAGUUCAAACGAGCUAGACAUCAAAACAGACCAACAAUCUGUAGAAGAUGUUCAAGAACCUGAUAAUGAUCUAAGAACUGAAAAGGGCAGCAAUAAUUCAAGUGGGACAACACCAGCACUAGAUAAAGAUCUCAAAAAGGUAGUCCAAAAGACUGCAGCUACUUUUGCACCAAGGGCUUCCACUGCAUCCAAAAACCCUGCUGUGCCAGGCACUGUUUUAUACACCGUGUUUGAGGUUCAAGGAUACGCAUCUCUGUUGCUAGGAGGAGCUCUCUCCUUCAACCUCGUAUUCCCAUCAAACGAGCCAGAUCUAUGGCGGCUGAUGGGCAUGUGGUCCAUAUGGAUGUUCACUAUUCCUUCCCUUCGUGCACGGGACUGUUCCAAGAACGAGAAAGAAGCUCUCAACUAUCUCUUCCUCCUCGUUCCAUUGCUCAAUGUCACGAUCCCAUUUUUCUUGAAAUCAUUUGCAGUCGUCUGGUCUGCAGACGUUGUAGCCUUCUUUGGGAUGUAUGCUUGGAAGCUCGGAUGGUUUUCUCAGAGAGAGUAGAGUAGGGCAGCAAUGUGGGAUGGAUACAUCCUACAGCUUCUUGAUUCGUUAAGCAGCUUAGCUUUGGAACACUCUGGGAAUGGUAUUCUUGGUAGAUAUUCGACAAAUGGAUGCUCAGGCGUGGGAGAGAGAACAAUCAAAUUUUAAUUACAAGUAUGCAUCUAAUUUAUGUCUAAACUACGACAUAGUCUGACAUGCCAUUCGCCCAAAUGGCUUCAUCUCAAAAUAGAAUGGAAGUUGUUUUUUCAGUCAA